AGUGAACGCUGGCGGUAGGCCUAACACAUGCAAGUCGAACGGCAGCACAGUAAGAGCUUGCUCUUACGGGUGGCGAGUGGCGGACGGGUGAGGAAUACAUCGGAAUCUACUUUUUCGUGGGGGAUAACGUAGGGAAACUUACGCUAAUACCGCAUACGACCUACGGGUGAAAGCAGGGGAUCUUCGGACCUUGCGCGAUUGAAUGAGCCGAUGUCGGAUUAGCUAGUUGGCGGGGUAAAGGCCCACCAAGGCGACGAUCCGUAGCUGGUCUGAGAGGAUGAUCAGCCACACUGGAACUGAGACACGGUCCAGACUCCUACGGGAGGCAGCAGUGGGGAAUAUUGGACAAUGGGCGCAAGCCUGAUCCAGCCAUACCGCGUGGGUGAAGAAGGCCUUCGGGUUGUAAAGCCCUUUUUUGGGAAAGAAAAGCAGCAGGUUAAUACCCCGCUGUUCUGACGGUACCCAAAGAAUAAGCACCGGCUAACUUCGUG
rnacentral:rRNA from 1 species